AGCGAACGCUGGCGGCAGGCUUAACACAUGCAAGUCGAGCGGACCUUUCGGGGUCAGCGGCGGACGGGUGAGUAACGCGUGGGAACGUGCCUUCCGGUUCGGAAUAACCCUGGGAAACUCGGGCUAAUACCGGAUACGCCCUUAUGGGGAAAGGUUUACUGCCGGAAGAUCGGCCCGCGUCUGAUUAGCUAGUUGGUGGGGUAACGGCCUACCAAGGCGACGAUCAGUAGCUGGUCUGAGAGGAUGGUCAGCCACACUGGGACUGAGACACGGCCCAGACUCCUACGGGAGGCAGCAGUGGGGAAUAUUGGACAAUGGGCGCAAGCCUGAACCAGCCAUGCCGCGUGAGUGAUGAAGGCCGUAGGGUUGUAAAGCUCUUUUAUCCGGGACGAUAAUGACGGUACCGGAGGAAUAAGCCCCGGCUAACUUCGUG
rnacentral:rRNA from 1 species